UACGUAGGGGGCUAGCGUUGUCCGGAUUUAUUGGGCGUAAAGAGCGUGUAGGCGGCCAGGUAGGUCUGCUGUGAAAACUCGAGGCUCAACCUCGAGACGUCGGCGGAAACCAACUGGCUAGAGUCCGGAAGAGGAGAGUGGAAUUCCUGGUGUAGCGGUGAAAUGCGCAGAUAUCAGGAAGAACACCCGUGGCGAAGGCGGCUCUCUGGGACGGUACUGACGCUGAGACGCGAAAGCGUGGGGAGCGAACAGG
rnacentral:rRNA from 1 species